rnacentral:rRNA from 1 species
CUACGGGAUGCACCAGUGGGGAAUAUUGCACAAUGGGCGCAAGCCUGAUGCAGCCAUGCCGCGUGUAUGAAGAAGGCCUUCGGGUUGUAAAGUACUUUCAGCGGGGAGGAAGGGAGUAAAGUUAAUACCUUUGCUCAUUGACGUUACCCGCAGAAGAAGCACCGGCUAACUCCGUGCCAGCAGCCGCGGUAAUAAGGAGGGUGCAAGCGUUAAUCGGAAUUACUGGGCGUAAAGCGCACGCAGGCGGUUUGUUAAGUCAGCUGUGAAAUCCCCGGGCUCAACCUGGGAACUGCAUCUGAUACUGGCAAGCGUGAGUCUCGUAGAGGGGGGUAGAAUUCCAGGUGUAGCGGUGAAAUGCGUAGAGAUCUGGAGGAAUACCGGUGGCGAAGGCGGCCCCCUGGACGAAGACUGACGCUCAGGUGCGAAAGCGUGGGGAGCAAACAGGAUUAGAUACCCUAGUAGUC